rnacentral:rRNA from 1 species
AACGUAGGAGGCGAGCGUUAUCCGGAUUUACUGGGCGUAAAGGGCGUGCAGGCGGUUGUGCAAGUUGGGCGUGAAAUCUCCCGGCUCAACUGGGAGGGGUCGUUCAAAACUGCAUAGCUUGAGGGCAGGAGAGGGAAGUGGAAUUCCCGGUGUAGCGGUAAUAUGCGCAGAUAUCGGGAGGAACACCAGUGGCGAAGGCGGCUUCCUGGCCUGUUCCUGACGCUGAGACGCGAAAGCCAGGGUAGCGAACGGGAUUAGAUACC